GACGAACGCUGGCGGCGUGCUUAACACAUGCAAGUCGAGCGGUAAGGCCCCUUCGGGGGUACGACGAGCGGCGAACGGGUGAGUAACACGUGGGUGACCUGCCCUCAGCUCUGGGGAUAAGCCUGGGAAACUGGGUCUAAUACCGGAUAUGACUCCAUGACGCAUGUCGUGGGGUGGAAAGCCUUGUGCGGCUGGGGGAUGGGCCCGCGGCCUAUCAGCUUGUUGGUGGGGUGAGGCCUACCAAGGCGACGACGGGUAGCCGGCCUGAGAGGGCGACCGGCCACACUGGGACUGAGACACGGCCCAGACUCCUACGGGAGGCAGCAGUGGGGAAUCUUGCGCAAUGGGCGAAAGCCUGACGCAGCGACGCCGCGUGAGGGAUGACGGCCUGGUUGUAACGUAC
rnacentral:rRNA from 1 species